rnacentral:rRNA from 1 species
AUGGACACAGCAACACCAAUAGAUGAAGAUGGAGAUCAUGUUAGCAUUUCAGACGAUGAAGGAGAAGAGGAUGAGGCGGAAGAGGUGCAUCCACAUCAACCAUCUAGUCGCAAGCUCACGUCUAAGGUUUGGUUGGACAUGCAUAAGUUGAAGAUAAAUGGAGAAUGGAAGGCCAAGUGUAAUUGGUGUCAUAAGACACUUACCGCAGGAUCAUGGAAUGGUACUAAGCAUCUAAAGUUGCAUCUUCAGAGUUGCACUCUUAGGAAGUUGAAGACGAAGGAUGGUAAAACUUUGCAUCAAGCCUCAUUGAAGGUGAUGGCCGAGAAUGAUGGGAAAGUGAGAAUGGAGAGCUACACUUUUAAUCAAGAGUACGCUAGAGCAGAGCUUGGCAACAUGUUGGUGUUGCAUGAUUAUCCUUUGUCUAUGGUGGACCAUGUUGGUUUUAGGAGAUUUGUUGCUGCACUUCAGCCAUUGUUCAAGCUGCAUACUAGAAAUACUAUUAGAACUGACAUUGUGGAAAGGUACGACAUAGAAAAGAAGAAGGCCAUCGAGUAUAUGAGUAUGGUACAAUCAAGGGUCGCAGUCACCACCGAUAUGUGGACUUCUGACAGCCAAAAGAAGGGAUAUAUGGCUAUUACAGCCCAUUUCAUUGAUGAUUCUUGGAGGCUAAGGAACAUUCUCAUGAGGUAUAUACAUGUUCCCACAUCAUAUAUUUUCAGCAGUCCAUUUCAUUGUACUUAUUUUCAGCAGUCCAUUAAGCUUUCGUCAACUAUUGCGUUUGUGUGCAUAUUGUAG